GGAAGGGGGCUGUUGAGUCAAUAUAAGAGAGUGCCGAGGUUACACAGUGACGUGAGCUUCCUAGUGAGAAUCAAUUCCUACCUGGGACCUGAAGUUCCAAAGCCACAUUUCUCACCCCACGCACACAUUAAUCUUCCUCGUAAUGUGUUCUCUGAGGACCUCAAGGUCUGUCCAGGACUUGGCCCUGAGCUCAUCAAAGCCGCAUUUUUACAGAUGGCCAAGUUUUACAGAUGUUUGCCUGACCGCUCUGUGCUUUGCUGCAAUAACCCGGGGCCGCUUCCAGGUGACAAGCAUCCUUUCUCCCAAGUUCAUACUGAAGAAGAACUGUCUAGAAGAGGAGCAGCUCCAGAGGGCAGGAGAGGGCAGGCACCCUCUGAAGGAGUAAGUGCUGUCAUCUGUCACUAAGAGGGAACAAGCGAAUGGCAGUGCUCGCCACAUAGGGUAAGGUUCUGGAAAGGGCGCUGUGUGUCAGGAGCCAGGGGAAAAGGCAGGACCUGGGCCUUAUUUAUGGACACUGUGUUUACAUUUUUUCAGCAGAGCUGUGAGCCCCCCAAGGACUCAGGAAUGCCCCUGCUGACCUUCAAGCUGUGAUGAAGGCUUAGGUGGGUCAACCCAUCCUAGAGAAAUGCCUGCCCAUUCCAAAGUUAAGCACCAUCUUUCCCCAAAGCCAGCAAAAAUUGACAACUGGGAGGGAAUGCACCCAAGGCUGCAAAAGAGGAGAAACAGCCCUUACAGCAACCUACUCAGUCUGUAGAAUGUCAUUAAUGCUCAUGAAAAUGACAAGGUGCCAAGUAUCAGUAGCUUAAAAAAAAAAAAAAAAAAAAAAAGAAAGUUAAAGGGUUAGCCUGACAGUGGUGGUUCAUUCCUUUAAUCCCAGUGCUCAGGAGUCAGGCAGGCAAACAGGCAGAAGGGUCUCUACUGUGAGUUCCAGGCCAGCCUGGUCUACAGAUCAAGUCCCAGGACAGCCAGCACCAUGCAGAAAAACCCUGUCUUGAAAAACUAAAAGUUAAAGGAUUAAACAGUUUUCUGAUGGCCAACCAAUUUAGUGUCAGAUCUGGGAUUCAUUGGCAAGGUUCUGUUUCUUCCCAGGUUACAAGCUAUUGUAUGUUUUAUAUGCCUAAUCCUCUCCUGGAUCCUGCAAGAGUGUUUUAUUAUCUUCGUGUAAAUGUGGAAAGAUGAAGAGACCAAGCAACAGACCUGAGGCCACAACUCGUUCCCUCGGGAAACGUUAGACUUCCCCGGUGCCGAGCGCUGGUGGCUCAGAUGCCAAGUGGAGCGAGCAUGAUUUGCAGAAACACCUAAAGGAAAUGCAUGCCCUGGAGGAGAUAUUCAAAAGGAAUCUUUGGAUUUGUGUGUAAUGUGACUGAGAACUCCGGAAGGCAGGAGACAGGACCCACUGUCCGUCUCUGUGACCGGGGCUAGAAUCCAGUGACUUAUAAACGACUUUUACAACCACUACUAUCCCCAGCCACACACCAGCUGGCUGAUGCGGAAGAGAUAUGGAAAGUCAUUAUAAUGUAAAAACCUGGGGGCCACUCACUCUGCAAUAACCUGCCUCGGCAUUGCAACCUCACACCCUGCUCUAAGGUCUGGGGCCCGGGCAGGCUUGCACCAAGUCCCUGCCUGCCCCAGCUGCGGCAGCCACCUCUCCCUGCCGAGCUGCUGAUGCUGCUGGGACCUGAAGUCCCCCUCCAGCUGGAAGCUGCCCUGGCUGACCCUCAGCUGCCCUGUCCAUGUCUGUUCUAGAGACUAGCCUCAGGGGCAAUCCUGUCUUUAACACUCCCUCCCGCCUCUUCUCUUCCAGAGGUCACAGGAGACCGAGCCCUUAGUGCACCGCGUCUUAGAAAGAUUUUUAAUGAAACAGCUUUUCUAUUUA